AUUGAACGCUGGCGGCAGGCCUAACACAUGCAAGUCGAGCGAGCGGCGGACGGGUGAGUAAUGUAUGGGGAACUGCCCGAUAGAGGGGGAUAACUACUGGAAACGGUAGCUAAUACCGCAUACUAUCGGAUGUACCCAUAUGGGAUUAGCUAGUAGGUGGGGUAAAGGCUCACCUAGGCGACGAUCUCUAGCUGGUCUGAUAGGAUGAUCAGCCACACUGGGACUGAGACACAGCCCAGACUCCUACGGGGGGCAGAAGUGGGGAAUAUUGCACAAUGGGCGAAAGCCGGAUACAGCCAUGCCGCGGGUAUGAAGAAGGGCUUAGGGUUGUAAAGUACUUUCAGCGGGGAGGCGUGACCCGCAGAAGAAGAACAGGCUAACUCUGUGCCAGCAGCCGCGGUAAUAC
rnacentral:rRNA from 1 species